rnacentral:rRNA from 1 species
UACGAAGGGGGCUAGCGUUGUUCGGAAUUACUGGGCGUAAAGCGCACGUAGGCGGAUUUGUAAGUCAGGGGUGAAAUCCCGGGGCUCAACCUCGAGACGCCGAUGGAAACCGUCUGGCUAGAGUCCGGAAGAGGAGAGUGGAAUUCCUGGUGUAGCGGUGAAAUGCGCAGAUAUCAGGAAGAACACCCGUGGCUAAGGCGGCUCUCUAGUACGGUACUGACGCUGAGACGCGAAAGCGUGGGGAGCGAACAGG